AUUGAACGCUGGCGGCACGCCUUACACAUGCAAGUCGAACGGUAACAGGGAGCUUGCUCCGCUGACGAGUGGCGAACGGGUGAGUAAUGUAUCGGAACGUACCUUUUAGUGGGGGAUAACGUAGCGAAAGUUACGCUAAUACCGCAUAUUCUCUGAGGAGGAAAGCAGGGGACCUUCGGGCCUUGCGCUAAUAGAGCGGCUGAUAUCAGAUUAGCUAGUUGGUGAGGUAAAGGCUCACCAAGGCGACGAUCUGUAGCGGGUCUGAGAGGACGAUCCGCCACACUGGAACUGAGACACGGUCCAGACUCCUACGGGAGGCAGCAGUGGGGAAUUUUGGACAAUGGGGGCAGCCCUGAUCCAGCCAUGCCGCGUGAGUGAAGAAGGCCUUCGGGUUGUAAAGCUCUUUCGGCCGGGAAAAAAUCGCAUGGGCUAAUACCCUGUGUGGAUGAUGGUACCGGAAUAAGAAGCACCGGCUAACUACGUGCCAGCAGCCGCGGUAA
rnacentral:rRNA from 1 species